UACGGAGGGUGCGAGCGUUGUCCGGAAUCACUGGGCGUAAAGGGCGCGUAGGUGGCCCGUCAAGCGCGCGGUGAAAGCCCGGGGCUCAACCCCGGGUCGGCCGUGCGGACUGGCGGGCUCGAGCACUGUAGGGGCGGGUGGAAUUCCGGGUGUAGCGGUGGAAUGCGCAGAUAUCAGGAGGAACACCGAUGGCGAAGGCAGGUCUCUGGGCCGAUACUGACGCUGAGGAGCGAAAGCGUGGGGAGCGAACAGG
rnacentral:rRNA from 1 species